rnacentral:rRNA from 1 species
AUUGAACGCUGGCGGCAGGCCUAACACAUGCAAGUCGAGCGGAUGAAGAGAGCUUGCUCUCUGAUUCAGCGGCGGACGGGUGAGUAAUGCCUAGGAAUCUGCCUGGUAGUGGGGGACAACGUUUCGAAAGGAACGCUAAUACCGCAUACGUCCUACGGGAGAAAGCAGGGGACCUUCGGGCCUUGCGCUAUCAGAUGAGCCUAGGUCGGAUUAGCUAGGAGGUGAGGUAAAGGCUCACCUAGGCGACGAUCCGUAACUGGUCUGAGAGGAUGAUCAGUCACAAUGGAACUGAGACACGGUCCAGACUCCUACGGGAGGCAGCAGUGGGGAAUAUUGGACAAUGGGCGUGAGCCUGAUCCAGCCAUGCCGCGUGUGUGAAGAAGGUCUUCGGAUUGUAAAGCACUUUAAGUUGGGAGGAAGGGCAGUAAGUUAAUACCUUGCUGUUUUGACGUUACCAACAGAAUAAGCACCGGCUAACUUCGUGCCAGCCGCCGCCGUAAGAC